UUUAACUUCAGCAAAUAUUGGAAAUAGAAAAAUGAAUUCUGUGGAAUUUCACAAAUAAAUUUUCCAAUUUCCACUAACAAAUGUUAUCAUUUAAUGGCUAAGCAAUUAUAAUGCUAUGAACAUUCACCACAAUGAAUGUGCUGAAAUAGAAAACAGGCAGAAAGAGACAUUAAAAUAUUACUUACAACAGCAUUAUUACAACAUAUUUUCUUUAAAAUUCCAACGUGGAUUUUAUCACUUCAAAAGAUAUACAGCAUUUCCAUUAUAUUUGCAAACUUAACCUUAUACAUCUUUUAAAAUCUUGAAAAAUUUUUAAGCAAUCUAAAAAGCACUUAGCAAAGUUGAUAAGCCUACAUAAUGGAAUACUAUCCACUCCAGUAUAAAUUUUAGUUUUAGGAGAAGGUGACUGUAAACACUCAUUAUCAUACAACAUGCAUAGACUAUACUGACCUUCCUUCUCAUUUGUAACGUUACUGCAAUUGUGCUUUACUAUAAUUAGGAAAAGCUGCAGAGGUCCAGGGAGUGGCAGAAAGAAUGUUUGUUUUUGAGCAUUGCACAAGAUCACUAGAUUCAGAUUAGCUAACUACUUUGAGUCAACUUGAGGCAAAGUUUCACUUGAUAUUAAAAGCUUGAAUCCUGGGUCACUAGAUUUAGAAACAGGCUAGACGAGAGAGAAAAUGAGGCUCUUGUUUGAAUUGGCUCCAUCUUUCCUUUGCUCAGAUAAGCAGGGAUCCAGUUAGUGUAAUGCACUGUUUGGCUUAUUUUUGGUAUGCAAUUAUACCAAUAGUACAUCUGAUAUUUAGAAAGACAAAAAUAGGGCAUAGUUGAAAUUUAAAGUGACAAUGAGCACACUUAUGGUGGUGUGUGAUAUUUGAGGAAACUUUAUAUACACAGAAAACAACCGCUUAAUCAGUCCACCACAGUAAGCUUUUAAAACUCAACUGUUUUUUCACUUCCAUUUUUUGAUUAGAGGUUUGUGAUCAUCAAAGGGUCUUAUAGGUUAAAAACGAUUAAAAACCAUUUUUGAGGAACUGGUGUCUUGGUAGGCACAAAUAUACCAAGACAACCCAGUGGGCGUGUUACACUAACCUCUGGCUCCUGCUGACACCAGCACCUGACUGUGUGCCACCACUAACCUACUAAGCACAAUGGAGGCAUGGGUACUUCCUGGUUAAAAGAGCUACAUUACAGAAUUGAUCACUGUUUCAGACCAGUCAACACAAUAUUCAAGUAACAAGGUGUUUAAAUGGAUAAGUGAAAAAAACUUUUACCUAACACUUUACACAUCCACAUAAAAUUAAAUAAAACAAACUUUUAAUGCAUAUGCAAUACAAUUUAUAUCUUUUAGGAUUUCUAAACUAAAAGUUAAACUAUCAUUUGCUUCAAUGGUACUAUAUUUUGCACAAUAACUUAUACUUAGGAGAAAUUUUCCACACAAAAAAAAUAUAAUUAUGACAUUCACAUUGAUAAUUUUUAAGAAGACAAAGCUUAAGUGAACAUUGCAUCUGAAGCAGUUGUCAUUGUGGACCCUUACACAUCCAAACACGACCUGCUGAUGCACCGAAGUCUUGAUAUGUUAAAAAGGGUCUUCACAUAAAUAAGACCAAAUCACUUAGCUUUUAAAGCUAAGCGAUUUCUUGCAUUUACAUCAUCAUUGCAAAGACAGUGUAAUGAAACAGUUUAAAACACAGUGCUAUCUUACGUAUGAAACUACAACAAAGGCAGUCAGGCAAAGACAACUAUCUUUUUUCCUUCUGGCAAAUGAAAACGACAUGCCCCUUUCCCUUGGAGAGAAAGCCAAAAUCCAACAAGUAUACUAGCACAGUGACUUUUCAGGACUGGAGACCACUCGGUGCCAGGAACCAAGUAGGGGGAUGGUGCAGAAUCCAGACAGAGGCCUGGCACUGGUGCUGUGCCCGCCAUGCUACAUAAGAACUAGCAUCAAGCUUUCAAGCACUGCCAGAAGGGAUCAAUUCUUGAGGAAAAUAAGAUAGCCUGGGUGUGAAGAGAGGAGCAGAUCCACUGGCAGAGAGGGAAGGCCACCGCAGCAGAUCGCCUACCGCUUGCUAAGGGGAAGGAGGUCUUGAGAAGCAAGGAGAACCCAAAGCUUCGGUUCGUGCCUAGUGUCCCCUUUAAGCGACGUGCAAAACUUGUGCCACCUCCUCCGCAUGUUUUUCCUGCCGUUUUCCAGUCACACAGCAGGCUCAUGAUAAAAAUAAAAGCAAACUCGACUACAUCAUUACUAGUGUUAUCCUACUACCCCGUCCAGGUAGGGGCCGCGCGCUGUGGCUGCCCUCUGACCUCUGAUGCUGCUCUUCAUGUGCUCUCACUUGACCGACAGAAACCUCACGUUGGGACAUGGUGAUGAAAGUCGGCAAAGUCCCAUUAUACUCCCUUUUUGAAUGACCUUUCUCCAAUUUCUAAAAAGAAAAAAAAAAAUCCAAACAAUCUGGGUUUCUAGCUGACCCUCUUCCUAAAGAGAUAAUCAGCUGACUUAAAAAAAAAAAAAGGUGCUUGGGAGUCAGAAUAUCAAGUUUUCAUUGCAUAUUUAAACUUCUUAACAAUUCUGUUCAUGCCUUAAAGCAUCUGCAUUUUUUUUCUUUUUGGUACUGAAAGCAGGAAACAUAUUUAAAUGAUGCAAAAAACACUAACAAAAAAGCUCCUUCAACAUAUUUUAGUGCAGGCUAAACUGACUGUGGGAUGGGGACAGGUUACAUUAGAAGGCAGUCUGACAGUCCAUGCCUCAACCCCUCAGCAGGUCCACAGUCUGGUAGAGAAUACAAGCGACUCGGGAAGUCUCAGAACACUUAUGAGAAAUUUAUACUUGUUCCCAGUCCAACCAAAAGGCAUUAACAUACCACUUUGUAGAUGGUUUCUUUUCAUCUUGGUCUCACUAGAACCACUAAACUAAUCUCUUCUCUGUCCUGUACUAUAAUAGUAAAAGAGAGUGGAUGGUGUUUAUGUGAUCACAUCAGUACACGAAGGACACAAAAGGAUAUGUGGAGUGCCACGUCAAAGGCCAGGCAUAUCAACAGAAUGGGGAACAAUGUGUAGCUUUUAUAAAACAAUCACCAGCUAUUCUAAUAUCCUUUAUUGAGCUAACCUGACAUUUAAAAUCUGCGCUCUGUCAGAAUCUGCAGCAAGCUCUCCCCUGUCUCCUAAUCUCAGUGAUGUCAUCUUUGGCAAGCAAUAAACUUUAAAGAAGAAAUAAGACACUAAAACAGAAAAAGGAUUGAUAACAUGGUUGCCAAAAGGAGAAGGCACCAAUUCCAAAUGUACAAGCACCAGGUACAGUGGUAUGGACCAAAUCUCUUGGAGUUGGGUGGUAGUGGUGGGGAAUCAGGAAAGAUAGGGUGGCACCCAUCCUAGGAUUGCAAUGCUGAAAGCUGAAGGCAGAAAGUGUUGAGGUCCACGUUCCCUUUAAGCUACAGUGUCCAAGGACAGUUGCUAUGAAUGAGCUUUCUACCACUUGGGAAAGGAGAAGGGUGAGACUUAGGCCAACUAAAUUUAUAAACCAUAAUUAUACCCUACGUUUAGGGAAAUGGGAGUUGUAUCAGGAUGUUUGGCACGAUAAAGGUUAUAAUGCAGUCUGCCAAUAUAUCGCGAUUUCCAAAGAAGCAUGAUAUCACUUAGGUGGAUGCCUCAGAAAGGAACAAGAGAAACUUUCUAGAAGGCCAACAGGGUCACAGUUACUCUGAAAAUUACAUUAUGCACAAAGUAGAAAUUGCAGGCCAUGCAGGAACAGAGUCGCGCCUUCCGAGUCGACUACCUGUUCCGAAGCUGCUGACUGGGAAGAGCUGCCAUUGGUGGGGCUCCGGAGCUCCGACUGGGAAGGCGGUCCCCAGAGUCACAGGAGGCGUGCCGGCUGUGAGAUCUCCCAGCACUUACGCAGAGUGCGAGAGAUGCAAUGGAGCUCUCUGGGAAGUGGCGCCAACAUGGAGGAACGAGCAAAGAAUUAAGGCAGAUGGAGCACAGGACUGGAAGUAUACGCCUUUUUUGGUAAUAGCUGCUUGUCCACAGAGAUGUGAUGCAGAUGGCUAGGGGAUGUCUUGUAAUACCUGAUAUCCUGGAUAACACAGGUGUCCAUACCAAGUGCUCAAAGCUACCAGAGUUUCUCAGGAAGCAGAUGCAUAUCUGACGUCAAGAACAGAAGCAGCCUGAGGAGAGGCAAAGGAAAAAAAGAAUCAAAGAGCAGGUAAACCAUACAAACUGCUAAUUCUGGUGUACCGAAAGAGGGCGAGGGCAUGGGCCCACCCAACUUGUCCUGCGAGUACAGUAUUCUGCAAACACACAUGUUCCUAAGGGCAAGGCCUGACAAGAUGGCUGGGCCACGGCGAGGCAAGCAGAAGGGCAGGGCAAGAGCGUGGCCUCUAUGGCCAGAUGUCGUGGG
ensembl:lncRNA